rnacentral:rRNA from 1 species
CUACCCAUGAGCAGGAUGAAGCGAAAGUAAAAUUUCGUGGAGGUCCGAACCCACGAGCGUUGAAAAGCUCGGGGAUGACUUGUGGGUAGCGGUGAAAUUCCAAUCGAGCCCGGAGAUAGCUGGUUCUCCCCGAAAUAGCUUUAGGGCUAGCCUCAAGGUGAGAGAUACGGAGGUAGAGCACUGAAUGUCCUAGGGGGUAUUGCACCUACCGAAGACUAUCAAACUCCGAAUGCCGUCAUCUUAUACUUGGGAGUCAGACUGUGGGUGAUAAGAUUCAUAGUCGAAAGGGCAACAGCCCAGAUCGUCAGCUAAGGUCCCUAAAUGUAAGUUAAGUGGUAAAGGAUGUGGGAUUGCACAGACAACCAGGAUGUUGGCUUAGAAGCAGCCACUCAUUCAAAGAGUGCGUAAUAGCUCACUGGUCGAGUGAUCCUGCGCCGAAGAUUUCCGGGGCUAAAACUUACUACCGAAGCUACGGCAUCAGUAAUGAUGGGUAGGGGAGCUUCCCAUACGGGUUGAAGCAUGACCGUAAGGACAUGUGGACAGUAUGGGAGUGAGAAUGUUGGCAUGAGUAGCGAGAUGUGGGUGAGAAUCCCACAGGCCGUAAACCCAAGGUUUCCAGGGGAAGGUUCGUCCGCCCUGGGUUAGUCGGGACCUAAGCUGAGGCCGAAAGGCGUAGGUGAUGGACAACAGGUUGAUAUUCCUGUACUACCGAUAACCGUUUGAGAGAAGGGAUGACACAGUAGGAUAAGCUAAGCACACUGUUGGUUAUGUGUGCCCAAGCAUUGAGGCAGUCAAAGUAGGCAAAUCCGCUUUGAUAAUGCUGGGAUGUGAUGGGGAGCGAA